UCGGAUUACCUGGGUGUCAAAGGGCGGUUAGCCCGAGUCAGUUCCAGAUUGUGCAAAUCCUGGGGCCUCCAACCCUCCAACUGCCAUUCGAACUGUUUUUUCUUGAGUAUCGGAGAGGCAUCGGAAAUUCCUAGUGUAGCGGUGAAUGCGUAGAUAUUAGGAGGAACACCAGUGGCGAAGCGAUUGCUUGACGACAUCUGACGUUGAGUCGCGAGAGCGUGGGGAGCAAACAGGAUUAGAUACCUUGGUAGUUCCACGCUGUAAACGAUGAAUACUAGGUGUGCGGGGACUGAACCCCAUGCGUGCCGCAGUUAACACAAUAAGUAUUCCACUUGGGGAGUACGAUCGCAAGGUUGAAACUCAAAGGAAUUGACGGGGGCCCGCACAAGCGGUGGAUUAUGUGGUUUAACUCGAAGCAACGCGAAGAACCUUACCAGGGCUUGACAUCCUACUAACGAAGUAGAGAUACAUCAGGUGCCCUUCGGGGAAAGUAGAGACAGGUGGUGCAUGGUUGUCGUCAGCUCGUGUCGUGAGAUGUUGGGUUAAGUCCCGCAACGAGCGCAACCCCUAUUGUUAGUUGCUACGCAAGAGCACUCUAGCGAGACUGCCGUUGACAAAACGGAGGAAGGUGGGGACGACGUCAAAUCAUCAUGCCCCUUAUGUCCUGGGCUACACACGUAAUACAAUGGCGGUAAACAGAGGGAUGCAAGACCGUAAGGUGGAGCGAACCCCUAAAAGCCGUCUCAGUUCAGAUUGUGGGCUGCAACUCGCCCACAUGAAGUCGGAAUCGCAUAGUAAUCGCGGAUCAGC
rnacentral:rRNA from 1 species